rfam:Triticum urartu cultivar G1812 contig687158, whole genome shotgun sequence.
UAUAUACUCCCUCCGUUCCGAAUUACUUGUCUUGGAUUUGUCUAGAUACGGAUGUAUCUAGACUCAUUUUAGUGCUAGAUACCUCCGUAUCUAGACAAAUCCAAGACAAGUAAUUCGGAACGGAGGGAGUACAUC